UUUAUAAUACAUUUGUCAAGCAACCAAUUAGCAGAAGAACAAUAACAUUUCUCUCUAUCUUCAAUUCCACAUAUGUGAUAAUUAAUAUAUUGCCUUGUAUGGAUGGCUUCACUCAAAACAAUACAUAUGCCUUCUGUUUAUUUGCCUGACAAAUGACCAUCAGAUGAAUCAAUCAAAUAGGGGGAAUUGGGGAGCAUUUCAAACCAAAACAAAGAAUUGAUCCUAACUACUAAAGUGCAGCAGCUUUAAAGCCUCUGAAUUAUUUUGCUCUUACUCCACCAGGAAAGUGCAGGCCUUCAAGAACCAAAAGAUUUAAGAGUGGAACUAAAAGAACAGCAUUCAAAUCCUCGUAAGCCAUGUUGUUUAUAUCCUUAAACCCAACAAAUGAUUGUGGAAUAAUAACCUUGAUCUUAUUCAACUCCUCAGCUAAAUUUCGUCUUCUUCCCUUCAUCCUCAGAUCUGCACACGUCAAGUACACUUCGAAUUGAACAAUACCAUGCAUUGAUUUCAGUUUAAGCUGUCCAUAUAAGUAAAGCAGCAGGUCAGUCACAAGAACCGAAUAAAGAGAUACUAUCCAACUAAUAUAUAAACGAUGAAUCAUGAAGAGAUAGUACAAUUUCUCCUCGCACACACAAAAAUAAAAAAUCCUAAAAUAACUUAGCUACAGAUUAUGAAGCAAGUAGGCCCUUAGAUUCACACAAUUUUAACAUCAUGCACAUGUUAAAUGGUAUACUCAUCACUGUACAGAGUAUGUUGAGAUUAGAAAUAAAAAUAGCAGAGCAAGGCAUUAGAUUGCAGAGAUUAACAAUGGAAACAUCGUAACAAAUACAACAUUUGUAGGGUGGAGGAGGAGCUCACCUAGAGCUUAGGCCCUCUGCCCGCCAUAUAGGCAAAGGAGAUGCGUCUUGACAGCACUCUGAAUAAAAUGUAUGGCUACGAGCAAAGGAAAGGUCUACGGAGUGAGGACAAGCAGAGAGCACGAGCAAGGGAUCAGACAUGCAGUAAAUUCCUGCACAAAAGACAGACUUUCGACCCAGUUUCUAUGCUCCAUGUACUACCCUGCAAACCAGAAUGAAAAUCACCAUAUACAUUUUCAUUGCAGCAACAUGUAACCCGUUAAUAAACAGAGACCACUUUCUGUACAUCCACAUAUACCCACUAAAACACAAAGAGAACUGUUGUGCUUGUUCCAUUACUGUCUGCGUGUGUCCACAUACACUUAUUAGAAUAAACGGAGAAUACUAAGAGGCAGCAAGAGUAUAGUAUCGCUCGUGAAGAACUAACCAAUGUUCAGAAAGAGGUGACUACAGAAUUGAUAGGGCAAUAGUAGCUACACCUGGGACUCCACCCCAACACCUCUCCUCAUGAAUGACCUUAACCUAUCGAUAUCAUUAAAAUUGAUUUUAAAAGUAGAUGGGAGUAAGGCCAGAAAAGAUCACUUAGUUCAAAACCGCACGUUGUGUUAGAUCCUCAGAAUUAUCUUGGACAACUAGAUCUUAACUUGCAGCUACAAUCAGUGUGAAUGUAAGCACAGUGCAGUGAAUGUAGUAGAUAUAUUCAGACGACACUAUCAGUAGCAUAGAAAUUAGUGAACUGGUUAAUUCUUAGUAUAAAUGAAAAUGAUUGAGCCUCUCAAAGCUUGUUCGUAUCAUUAUUGGGUCAUGCUUACAUUUACUUAUCCACAGUACUAUCCACAGUACUAAACAAGCAGUACUUGCGUAGAAAAGGCAAGUUACCUUGGAGAAUUAACAUUUGAUUGAUUUGUUCUUCAAAAGGUAUACCUACACAUAUCGUACAGAGGCGUUUAGGCUACACAAAUCUUGCAUAGAAGAUGGGUAGGAGAGAGAGAGAUCAUG
rnacentral:lncRNA from 1 species